AUGGUUAAGUUAGAAAGGGCGCACGGUGAAUGCCUUGGCACUAGGAGCCGAUGAAGGACGGGACUAACACCGAUAUGCUUCGGGGAGCUGUAAGUGAGCUUUGAUCCGGAGAUUUCCGAAUGGGGAAACCCACUGUUCGUAAUGGAACAGUAUCUUUAUCUGAAUACAUAGGAUAUUGAAGGCAGACCCGGGGAACUGAAACAUCUAAGUACCCGGAGGAAGAGAAAGCAAAUGCGAUUUCCUGAGUAGCGGCGAGCGAAACGGAAUUAGCCCAAACCAAGAGGCUUGCCUCUUGGGGUUGUAGGACACUCUAUACGGAGUUACAAAGGAAUGAAGUAAAUGAAGCGACCUGGAAAGGUCCGUCGAAGAAGGUAACAACCCUGUAGUUGAAACUUCGUUCCCUCUUGAGUGGAUCCUGAGUACGGCGGAACACGUGAAAUUCCGUCGGAAGCUGGGAGGACCAUCUCCCAAGGCUAAAUACUACCUAGUGACCGAUAGUGAACCAGUACCGUGAGGGAAAGGUGAAAAGCACCCCGGAAGGGGAGUGAAAGAGAUCCUGAAACCGUGUGCCUACAAGUAGUCAGAGCCCGUUAAUGGGUGAUGGCGUGCCUUUGUAGAAUGAACCGGCGAGUUACGAUCCCAUGCAAGGUUAAGCUGAUAAGGCGGAGCCGUAGCGAAAGCGAGUCUGAAUAGGGCGUUUAGUAUGUGGUUGUAGACCCGAAACCAGGUGAUCUACCCAUGUCCAGGGUGAAGUUCAGGUAACACUGAAUGGAGGCCCGAACCCACGCACGUUGAAAAGUGCGGGGAUGAGGUGUGGGUAGCGGAGAAAUUCCAAUCGAACCUGGAGAUAGCUGGUUCUCUCCGAAAUAGCUUUAGGGCUAGCCUCAUGUUGUGAGAGUCUUGGAGGUAGAGCACUGAUUGGACUAGGGGCCCCCAACGGGUUACCGAAUUCAGUCAAACUCCGAAUGCCAAAGACUUAUCCAUGGGAGUCAGACUGCGAGUGAUAAGAUCCGUAGUCAAAAGGGAAACAGCCCAGACCACCAGCUAAGGUCCCCAAGUAUACGUUAAGUGGAAAAGGAUGUGGAGUUGCUUAGACAACCAGGAUGUUGGCUUAGAAGCAGCCACCAUUUAAAGAGUGCGUAAUAGCUCACUGGUCGAGUGACUCUGCGCCGAAAAUGUACCGGGGCUAAACGUAUCACCGAAGCUGUGGAUUGACAUCUUUGAUGUCAGUGGUAGGAGAGCGUUCUAAGUGCUGUGAAGUCAGACCGUAAGGACUGGUGGAGCGCUUAGAAGUGAGAAUGCCGGUAUGAGUAGCGAAAGACAAGUGAGAAUCUUGUCCACCGAAUGCCUAAGGUUUCCUGAGGAAGGCUCGUCCGCUCAGGGUUAGUCGGGACCUAAGCCGAGGCUGAAAAGCGUAGGCGAUGGCCAACAGGUUGAUAUUCCUGUACCACCUCCCCGCCGUUUGAGUAAUGGGGGGACGCAGUAGGAUAGGGUAAGCGCGCUGCUGGAUAUGCGCGUUCAAGCAGUUAGGCUGAUGAGUAGGCAAAUCCGCUCAUCAUAAAGGCUGAGCUGUGAUGACGAGGGAAUUAUAGUACCGAAGUUCCUGAUUCCACACUGCCAAGAAAAGCCUCUAGCGAGGCGGGAGGUGCCCGUACCGCAAACCGACACAGGUAGGCGAGGAGAGAAUCCUAAGGUGAUCGAGAGAACUCUCGUUAAGGAACUCGGCAAAAUGACCCCGUAACUUCGGGAGAAGGGGUGCUCUGGUAGGGUGUAUAGCCCGAGAGAGCCGCAGUGAAUAGGCCCAGGCGACUGUUUAGCAAAAGCACAGGUCUCUGCGAAGCCGCAAGGCGAAGUAUAGGGGCUGACGCCUGCCCGGUGCUGGAAGGUUAAGAGGAGGGGUUAUCCUUUGGGAGAAGCUCUGAAUCGAAGCCCCAGUAAACGGCGGCCGUAACUAUAACGGUCCUAAGGUAGCGAAAUUCCUUGUCGGGUAAGUUCCGACCCGCACGAAAGGCGUAACGAUCUGGGCACUGUCUCAACGAGAGACUCGGUGAAAUUAUAGUACCUGUGAAGAUGCAGGUUACCCGCGACAGGACGGAAAGACCCCGUGGAGCUUUACUGUAGCCUGAUAUUGAAUUUUGGUACAGCUUGUACAGGAUAGGUAGGAGCCUGAGAAGCCGGAGCGCUAGCUUCGGUGGAGGCGUCGGUGGGAUACUACCCUGGCUGUAUUGAAAUUCUAACCCGCGGCCCUGAUCGGGCCGGGAGACAGUGUCAGGUGGGCAGUUUGACUGGGGCGGUCGCCUCCUAAAAUGUAACGGAGGCGCCCAAAGGUUCCCUCAGAAUGGUUGGAAAUCAUUCGUAGAGUGUAAAGGCACAAGGGAGCUUGACUGCGAGACCUACAAGUCGAGCAGGGACGAAAGUCGGGCUUAGUGAUCCGGUGGUUCCGCAUGGAAGGGCCAUCGCUCAACGGAUAAAAGCUACCCCGGGGAUAACAGGCUUAUCUCCCCCAAGAGUCCACAUCGACGGGUAGGUUUGGCACCUCGAUGUCGGCUCAUCGCAUCCUGGGGCUGUAGUCGGUCCCAAGGGUUGGGCUGUUCGCCCAUUAAAGCGGUACGCGAGCUGGGUUCAGAACGUCGUGAGACAGUUCGGUCCCUAUCCGUCGUGGGCGUAGGAAAUUUGAGAGGAGCUGUCCUUAGUACGAGAGGACCGGGAUGGACACACCGCUGGUGUACCAGUUGUCUUGCCAAAGGCAUCGCUGGGUAGCUAUGUGUGGACGGGAUAAGUGCUGAAAGCAUCUAAGCAUGAAGCCCCCCUCAAGAUGAGAUUUCCCAUAGCGUAAGCUAGUAAGAUCCCUGAAAGAUGAUCAGGUUGAUAGGUCAGAGGUGGAAGCGUGGCGACAUGUGUAGCUGACUGAUACUAAUCGAUCGAGGACUUAACCAAA
rnacentral:rRNA from 1 species